CAGUAGCCGCGGGAAAACGAAGGGGGCUAGCGUUGCUCGGAAUGACUGGGCGUAAAGGGCGCGUAGGCGGCACACACAGUCAGGCGUGAAAUUCCUGGGCUUAACCUGGGGGCUGCGUUUGAUACAUGUGAGCUAGAGGAUGGAAGAGGCUCGAGGAAUUCCCAGUGUAGAGGUGAAAUUCGUAGAUAUUGGGAAGAACACCGGUGGCGAAGGCGGCGAGCUGGUCCAUUACUGACGCUGAGGCGCGAAAGCGUGGGGAGCAAACAGGAUUAGAUACCCCCGUAGUCCCUGUCUCUUAUAC
rnacentral:rRNA from 1 species